GGCCCCAUCGUCUAUUGGUUAGGACACCGCCCUUUCAAGGCGGCGGGAGGGGUUCGACUCCCCUUGGGGCCG
rnacentral:tRNA from 4 species